CGGCGGACGGGUGAGUAACGCGUGGGUAACCUGCCUCAUACAGGGGGAUAACAGUUGGAAACGGCUGCUAAUACCGCAUAAGCGCACAGUACCGCAUGGUACGGUGUGAAAAACUCCGGUGGUAUGAGAUGGACCCGCGUCUGAUUAGGUAGUCGGUGGGGUAACGGCCUACCAAGCCGACGAUCAGUAGCCGACCUGAGAGGGUGACCGGCCACAUUGGGACUGAGACACGGCCCAA
rnacentral:rRNA from 1 species